rnacentral:rRNA from 1 species
CAUGUCUUCUUGAAAAUAAUUUUAAGUYUGACCUGCUCMAUGAAGUUUUAAAUGGCUGCAGUAUUUUGACUGUACAAAGGUAGCAUAAUCAAUAGUUUUUUAAUUAAAAGCUGGAAUGAAAGGUUUGAUAAAGUAAAUAUUGUCUCGAAUUUAAUUAAGUAGAAUUUUUUUUUUAGUAAAAAUACUAAAUUGGUUUUAAAAGACGAGAAGACCCUAUAGAUUUUUAUAUUAUAAUUUUAAUUAAUAAAAAUUUAAUAUAUUGUUAAUAGUAAUAAUAUUUGGUUGGGGAAAUUAUUAAAUUUAAUAAAUUUUAAUUGUUAAAAAACAAUAAUUAUUGAUUAUUAGAUCUUUAUAUUUAAGAUUAAGAGAUUAAAUUACCUUAGGGAUAACAGCAUAAUUUUUUUUGAGAGAUCUAAUUGAAAAAGAAGUUUGUGACCUCGAUGUUGAAUUAAGAUAAAAUUUUAAUGCAGUAGUUAAAAAUUUUUAGUCUGUUCGACUAUUAAAAUCUUAC